rnacentral:rRNA from 1 species
AUUGAACGCUGGCGGCAUGCCUUACACAUGCAAGUCGAACGGUAACAGGUUAAGCUGACGAGUGGCGAACGGGUGAGUAAUGUAUCGGAACGUGCCCAGUCGUGGGGGAUAACUGCUCGAAAGAGCAGCUGAUACCGCAUACGACCUGAGGGUGAAAGCGGGGGAUCGCAAGACCUCGCGCGAUUGGAGCGGCCGAUAUCAGAUUAGGUAGUUGGUGGGGUAAAGGCCUACCAAGCCUACGAUCUGUAGCUGGUCUGAGAGGACGACCAGCCACACUGGGACUGAGACACGGCCCAGACUCCUACGGGAGGCAGCAGUGGGGAAUUUUGGACAAUGGACGCAAGUCUGAUCCAGCCAUGCCGCGUGCGGGAAGAAGGCCUUCGGGUUGUAAACCGCUUUUGUCAGGGAAGAAAAGGUUCUGGUUAAUACCUGGGACUCAUGACGGUACCUGAAGAAUAAGCACCGGCUAACUACGUGCCAGCCGCCGCCGUAC